AUUACCUGUGAGGGUACAUGCUGACCUGUCCUUUGAUUGUGAUGUGCUGCCCGGGGCUCAGUCCUUUCAGUAUACUGCCUUUGUAAGGGAGGCUCUGGAAUAAGAACAUAACAUUUGUCACAUUUUAUGUAAUUAUUUUCACUAUCGAAUAAUCUGCAGAUAAUUUUCUCAACAUUUUUCCACUAUAAAUGUUGAAUUUCCUCCAUUUCAAGGUGACGUCUUCAAAUGUCGGGCCAACUGUUCAAACCCAUCAUACAUCACAAGACGGCCGCAACCAGCACAUAUUUCACAUUUGUACUUUAAAUUACUAAACCGAUUAGCAAAAUAUUCUGUUGAUCCACUAAUCAACUUAUUGUUGCAACUCUGAGCACUAUAUAUGUGUAUAUACACACGUACGUGUAUAUAUACACGUGUAUAUAUAUAACAAAUAAUGUAUAUAGGACAUCUAGCUGAAGCUAAAUUGCAGCCCUGUGUGAAUCUGUGUGUGAACAUGACAGUAUACACAGACGUAUAGGUGUGAGAGUAUGAGUGAAAUUACUCAGUGGUCAUUUUAUUAGGUACACCUGUACACUCUAAUGCAACUCAAUACAACAGCUGUGCUAUAAAUUCUACCUUUAUGAAGUUUAUAAUAUUUGUUUUUAUCGGUUUGCUUUGUGUCAUUUUGGUGGUGUUGUGAAGAAGAGGGGGAUUAUGGGAGUUUGUCAGCUUCUCCCGGUUAGGAUUCCGUCAUCGUUCAUCGUUCAGGAGGUUUUAUUUUUACCAGGAGCCGAAUGAUCCCCAGAGGUCUGCUCCUCUCCAAAACAAACGGACACGGCUUAUCGAUGCCUUCAUCCUUAACAGCCUGGGUUCACUGGCCUUGAAGACGUCUUCAUGCACCAGGAUGAUGGUCUCGAAGGGGGCUCCGCGUUUGUAGGGCAGCUGAUGGAGUGUUUCCUCUUUACCCCAGCUCUCCUGCAGCAGGGAGUUACACACCACACGGGGCGAGUCUUUAAAGCGAGGGCUGAAGUGGAGGGCGACGUCAGAGCGCGGCUUGGUGCUGCAGCCGCUCGACAGGUCGAACUGAAACCUGCAGAGAGGGUGCACAGCGAGGCUGGGUUAUUAACCGGGCAAAGUGGGCAACUGCCCCGGGGCUUCCAAGUUCACGUCAUGUCAAAGGGGGAGUUUGCACCUCUUAAGAACCUCAUCAACAAGGGCAGGUCCUUGUAUAGAGGCCCUGAGUCAAAGUCUAGUUCUAGUUCUUUUUCACCAAAAAAGAAUAAUGACUUAAAGGGGCCCAAACUACCUACACUCUAACUUAUCAAGGUGGAGAAUUAUCUUUCAAGCUCAAAUUAUUUCAGUUUGUGUUCACAUUGUGCAUAUUCAUAAAUGAGUUUGUGUUUAAUCAAUCUGCCACAACAAAACAGGGUGCAUAUACAAAGCACAGAGAUUAGUUGUUGGGAGUCAGUAGAAACCCUUGGUGUGGUGUAGCAAGAGGACACAAGCAUUUAUAAUGCAGUACAUUGCUUUGCUGCUGUGCGUUAACUCCCGUCUGUUUCUCCAAACUGGGGGCGUGCCGACCGGCAUCUACUGACUAUGGAUAAGUACCUCGUACAGCCCCACUUCCAAAGAUCCAAACUAUCACAUGGUUCUGGGGCCAAACCUGAUCUCUGACCUCCAGGCGGAGUCAUAUCUGAGAUAAAAUGAAUACAAACUGUUCUUGUAGUAGAUAUAUUAUUAAAUCCUUUAAAAGUGAUAUCUUCGAGGGGAAUUAUUAUUAUAAGUUCCUCCACUGUGUCCACAGAACAAGACCAGUUGCUCCCAUAGGGGUGACCUCGAGGGUGAACUGCUAGAUUUGUUCAUUACUAUUUUUUAUUCUACACUUUUGUUUCAACGCCUAAAAAACAAGCCAAGAAUUACGUGAAAUGAAAAUAAAUAGAUUUAACCAACGUGUACUUAUAUUGUGAUUGAGAAUAGACUGUUGAGUAAAUAUUGAUGUUACAUCAGUUUCAUUUUUUUAGGACUUUGUUGAAUCUAAUUUAGAAAUGUGCUUGUGUAUAUGUGUCCAUGAAAAUAAAAACACUUUGAGGGAG